rnacentral:rRNA from 1 species
AGAGUUUGAUCAUGGCUCAGAACGUACGCUGGCGGCACGCCUAACACAUGCAAGUCGAACGAAGUAGCAAUACUUAGUGGCAGACGGGUGAGUAACAUGUAGGUAUCUGCCCUUUGGCCUGGAAUAACACGAGGAAACUUGUGCUAAUACCGGAUAAGUCUUUACGGAGAAAGCUUUAUGCACCAUUGGAUGAGCCUGCACUUGAUUAGUUUGUUGGUGGGGUAAUGGCCUACCAAGACUGUGAUCAAUAGCUGAUUUGAGAGGAUGAUCAGCCACAUUGGGACUGAGACACGGCCCAAACUCCUACGGGAGGCAGCAGUGGGGAAUCUUGCACAAUGGAGGAAACUCUGAUGCAGCGAUGCCGCGUGAGUGAAGAAGGCCUUUGG